AAAUGUAGGAGAUAUCUGAUAAAAAUGUAGCAAAUCGUGAAAAGUUAUUGAUCCCACACACUCUAGGAUCAAAUACAUUAGCAAGAAAAAGGGAUGAGUUGGAAGUGCAAUAUGGACGACAUUAUAGUAGAGGAGAUAUGUAUCCUAUUGCUCAUAAAAAAAAGGAUGGUUCAUUUGUGAGCGAAGAUGCUAGAGAAAAAUAUGAACAAUUGCAUAAUGAAAUUCAGGAGACUUCUUCUGAGAAUGAGGCAUUCUUGAAAGUGUUUGGAAAGGAGCAUCCCGGAUAUGUUCGAGGCAUGGGACUUGGGGUUACUCUGACUCAAAUCAUUGGAUCAUAUUCUUCCUCUACAAGGUCUGGAU